UACAGAGGUCCCAAGCGUUGUUCGGAUUCACUGGGCGUAAAGGGUGCGUAGGCGGUCGGGUAAGUCUGAUGUGAAAUCUCACAGCUUAACUGUGAAACUGCAUUGGAUACUAUUCGGCUAGAGAGUUGGAGGGGGGACUGGAAUACUUGGUGUAGCAGUGAAAUGCGUAGAUAUCAAGUGGAACACCAGUGGCGAAGGCGAGUCUCUGGACAUUUCCUGACGCUGAGGCACGAAAGCCAGGGGAGCAAACGGG
rnacentral:rRNA from 1 species